rnacentral:piRNA from 1 species
UGUGAAGAGGAAAGAACAGAAACAAAAGA